CUGCAAUGAUGACUUUCUUAGGACACCUUUGGAUUAACUCAUGAAAAUACUGUGAUUGCUGAGCAGC